UUUGGAGGAAGAAAUAAGCACUUGGGCUUUUGAAAUGAGAAUCAUGGAUACACUGCCAGAGAAAAGACUGUAGAGAGAAAACAAAAAUCAGAAAGAAUUCUAAAGAACACAACUUUAAGAAAACAGGAUGAAGGAAAUACAUCUGUGGUGGGAACAGAGAAACACCAAUCUGGAAGGCCGGAGGAGUGUGAUUGGGUACAACAGACUUGUCAAACUGGAGAGGACAGAAGAAGGGAAGGAUUGACAUGGGAAAAUAUCUCAUCUCCCUUUCUGGAGAAUCUCCUGCAUGAAUUGUCUGCAAAACCUCUUCAACUGGAUACGAGUCUCAGACCUCUUGUAAACUAGAAGACUACUCUACAGGAAGAUUAUUCAAUAUGUAUUUUGAAUCCUGCAGUCAUUGAUAACACAGCAAUUGUUAGAAAGUGACCAUGAAAUGACCUGGAAAUGGUAUUACGGUUGAAGAAAAAGAAAUCCUUUAAUAAUCCUGUAAUGUCUCCUAAUGAUCCUAUAUUUUCACAUC